CUCUCCUAUCUCCUCCAGUGAUGAUCGUCCCACUCUCUGCCUGAGCAACACACGAAUUUUAUCCAUCCAUCCCUGACUGCUGCUGCUCGUCGCAAAUGGAAGCGGCAGCCGCUACCUCCUCCCCCUUGCUGUCGCUCUCUGGUGCCAGGAGGUCGCCGACCCUUCUCCGCUGCUCCCCGGCGUCAGCUCGGCCUCCUCCCUACCGAAGUAGCAGCUACUCCACCGGCGCAGAGCGGCAGCCAGUCUACCUCGCCAGCACAAGCAGCAGGGGCUUGUCCUUGAGGUGCUCCGCCGCCACCGCCGGCAGCACGUCGACGGAAGGAUGGCUUCUCGAGCCCGCAGGUGACGGCGACUGGAAACACAUCGGCUACCGCGUCGAGCGCCGCGGUCCGAUCGAGAUCACCUCUUCUGAGGUGGUGACCGUGGGCAGGGUUCCAGAGAGCGCUGACAUCGUCAUCCCCGUCGCCACGGUUUCCGGCGUGCACGCUCGGCUGGAGAAGAAGAAGGACGGGAGCCUGGUGGUGACAGACAUGAACAGCACCAACGGCACCUACAUCAACGAGAGGAAGCUGGUGCCAGGGUUCCCCGUGGCCGUCAACUCUGGGAGCCUCCUCAUCUUCGGUGACAUUCACCUAGCAAUGUUUCGUGCGAGAAAGGCACUCUUCCAAGUGCCUGCCCCAGACGAGACUGGAGAAAAUGACGAACAGGAAGUAAACAAUGAGGUGCUAGCAAGCGUAACUGAAGAAACAAGCUAAGCUACAACCCUACAUCCCAAAUAAGAGUGGAAGAUGUAUGUCUUGUAGCUAGAAAGGAGGAACGUUGAUGUCCCAAAUAAAAGGGCUCCUAUCACAUGCUCAAAAAGACGUUGCCAUGCAGUUUGUCCCAGAAACUAGCGCAACACAUAGUCGCCUCAUGCACUAAGAUGUUGACUGCAUUAGUAUAUGCCCAAGAAUUGCCAAAGAGAACCAACAAAAUGCUGCGGAGCUAAGCUAAUCUAGGUAUAACUGCUUUACUGAAAGCAACACCAAAGGAUUAGCUAAUCAAGUUGCAGUGAACCAGCAAAGCUGGGAAAGGCAUCAACUUAUUAUGUUAAUCACGAUCACCUUCUGCAGACAGAUCAUACAACCAUGCAGGAGCUCUCACAUGAUCACCAGUCAACAGGAGAAAGGAAGAAGAGGGCAUAAAUUACGAGUCGACUAUACAUCUAAUCAGUACGGGUACAACAAUACAUACAACAGGAAAACAGGUGAACACAUAAAGAGGGAAAAUGUAUAUCUGUAGCUAGAAAGGAGUAAACUUGAUGGCCCAAAUAUAAGGUAACUACGGCAUUGCAGAAUUGUAUUGUACUUGUAGUGUACAGCAAGCAUAUUCAUAAGGUUUCGCUCAAGUCAUAAAUGCAAGUCAAAACCGAAACUUGACUAUCCCAGACUUCUUCUUUUUGAAGCACACUGAACAAGCGAACUGUUAUCCACAAGAAAUAGCAGGCGCAAUACAAAAGCAAAAGAAUGUAUGGUCUAAAUGCUUGACCAAAUAAACAUAUAACCUCAAAAUAUCAGCACAUCUAAUUCUAUUUCUUCUGGGGCUCCUGUCACAUGCUCGAAAUAACGCUGUCUAGCAGUUUGACCCAUAAACUAGUGUAACACAUCACCCGUCGUACACUAAGAUAUCGACUGCAUUAGCAUAUGCCCAUCAGUUGCCAAAGAGACACAACAAUAUGCUGUGCAGCUAAGCUUAUCCAGAUCAUAGAACCAUGCAAGAGCUGACAUGAUUACCAGUUGAAAGAAGAAAGGGCCUCAAUCAUCCAAGCAGCAAGAGUAUAGCAAUACGUACAACAGGAAUGCAAGUGAACAGUUUUAGAGUCGACUAUUACCAUCCAAGCAGCAAGGGUAUAACAAUACAUAAACAGGAAUGCAAGUGGACAGUUGAAGAGGGAAGCUAACAGCCAUAACUACUAUGUUUUGUUUUGCAAAAAAAGCUACUGUUUGGAUCAGUGACAACUAUUUAUGAAUACUUGUCAUGAUUAACAGUGGACAGAAGAAAGGAAGAAGGUGAACUAAAUUAUGACUCAACUACACCAUUGAAGCGGCAAGGGUAUAACGACAGUACAUACAGAUGGUAAACAAGUAAUCACUCAAAUGAGGAAGCUAAGAGCCAUAUCUGCUAUGUUCGAUUUGGCAAACAAAAAAGAUUUGGCAAUUGUUUUGAUUGUUGACAAAUAUUUGGGAAUCACCUUCUGUAGAAGAAUCAUAGCACCGUGCAGGAGCUCUAGCAUGAUUACCAGUGGAGGAAAGAAAUAGAAUGAAGUAAAUUAUGAGUCGACUAUACCAUCUAAGCAGCAAAGGUAAAACAAUACAUACAACUGGGUAACAAGUGAUCACUCAAAGAGGGAAGCUAACUGCUACGUUUCGUUUGGAAACAAAGAACAAUCGGCAAUUGUUUGGAUUGUUGACAAAUAUUUGGCUUGGCAAAGUACCAUUUGGCAGUCAAAUUGUACAUUACAAAAAGUAAUAUCGCUAGUCUAGCAUAUAGUUGGAUAAUUGCUCAACCUCAAACGCAAACUGAAGCAAGAAAUGAAACUAGACCUACUCUUUCGACCAGGAAACGACAGAUCAUUCAACUAGUGAUAAUUAAGUUGAAACAUGUCGAGGCAAUGAAGGAAACUCAACAGGACAGUCAGUCUCAUCCUUUUAACAUAAUAUUGAAAUAACAUAAUCCGUCCAAUUAAGCACGAAGCAAAACGAUAUUGCAUAGGCAACUCACGAGUCUUAGAGAAGACCACAUAUCCUAUUCAUUGUUGUCCAAAAGAUGCGAAACUACAUGGGCUAAACUGCUCGAUAGUAGAUAGAUAGGCAGUCGAGGAUUGCA